GACGAACGCUGGCGGCGUGCUUAACACAUGCAAGUCGAACGGAAAGGCCCUGCUUUUGUGGGGUGCUCGAGUGGCGAACGGGUGAGUAACACGUGAGUAACCUGCCCUUGACUUUGGGAUAACUUCAGGAAACUGGGGCUAAUACCGGAUAGGAGCUCCUGCUGCAUGGUGGGGGUUGGAAAGUUUCGGCGGUUGGGGAUGGACUCGCGGCUUAUCAGUUUGUUGGUGGGGUAGUGGCUUACCAAGGCUUUGACGGGUAGCCGGCCUGAGAGGGUGACCGGCCACAUUGGGACUGAGAUACGGCCCAGACUCCUACGGGAGGCAGCAGUGGGGAAUAUUGCACAAUGGGCGGAAGCCUGAUGCAGCAACGCCGCGUGCGGGAUGACGGCCUUCGGGUUGUAAACCGCUUUCGCCUGUGACGAAGCGUGAGUGACGGUAAUGGGUAAAGAAGCACCGGCUAACUACGUGCCAGCAGCCGCGGUGAUACGUAGGGUGCGAGCGUUGUCCGGAUUUAUUGGGCGUAAAGGGCUCGUAGGUGGUUGAUCGCGUCGGAAGUGUAAUCUUGGGGCUUAACCCUGAGCGUGCUUUCGAUACGGGUUGACUUGAGGAAGGUAGGGGAGAAUGGAAUUCCUGGUGGAGCGGUGGAAUGCGCAGAUAUCAGGAGGAACACCAGUGGCGAAGGCGGUUCUCUGGGCCUUUCCUGACGCUGAGGAGCGAAAGCGUGGGGAGCGAACAGGCUUAGAUACCCUGGUAGUCCACGCUGUAAACGGUGGGUACUAGGUGUGGGGUCCAUUCCACGGGUUCCGUGCCGUAGCUAACGCUUUAAGUACCCCGCCUGGGGAGUACGGCCGCAAGGCUAAAACUCAAAGGAAUUGACGGGGCCCCGCACAAGCGGCGGAGCAUGCGGAUUAAUUCGAUGCAACGCGUAGAACCUUACCUGGGUUUGACAUGGAUCGGGAGUGCUCAGAGAUGGGUGUGCCUCUUUUGGGGUCGGUUCACAGGUGGUGCAUGGCUGUCGUCAGCUCGUGUCGUGAGAUGUUGGGUUAAGUCCCGCAACGAGCGCAACCCUUGUUCACUGUUGCCAGCACGUUAUGGUGGGGACUCAGUGGAGACCGCCGGGGUCAACUCGGAGGAAGGUGGGGAUGACGUCAAGUCAUCAUGCCCCUUAUGUCCAGGGCUUCACGCAUGCUACAAUGGCUGGUACAGAGAGUGGCGAGCCUGUGAGGGUGAGCGAAUCUCGGAAAGCCGGUCUCAGUUCGGAUUGGGGUCUGCAACUCGACCUCAUGAAGUCGGAGUCGCUAGUAAUCGCAGAUCAGCAACGCUGCGGUGAAUACGUUCCCGGGGCU
rnacentral:rRNA from 1 species